rnacentral:rRNA from 1 species
UACAGAGGUCUCAAGCGUUGUUCGGAUUCAUUGGGCGUAAGGGUGCGUAGGCGGCGCGGUAAGUCGGAUGUGAAAUCUCGGGGCUUAACUCCGAAACUGCAUUCGAUACUACCGUGCUUGAGGACUGGAGAGGAGACUGGAAUUUACGGUGUAGCGGUGAAAUGCGUAGAUAUCGUAAGGAAGACCAGUGGCGAAGGCGGGUCUCUGGACAGUUCCUGACGCUGAGGCACGAAGGCCAGGGGAGCAAACGGG